GUCUCUCACGAAUACAAUGAGCCGCGCGCGCUAGGCGGAGCGAACAAAUCCAACCACAUGGGUGGCGGUGGCGGCAGUGGGACCGAGGAAGUGACCCGCGUCCGGCGGUCUGGAGCAUGCUGAUGGCCGCGACGGGGACGGCCCCCUCAGUCAAACUCUAGAGCUUUUUCCCGAACAUAUUGGAGAUCGACAAGAAUGGCGGCAAUCGCAACUACGACCUACGGCGGAGGAGAAACUGAUCGUGAGCAAUGGAGGCCCGACGGCGCUGCUCUUGUUGGACUCAACGGUGCUCUCGGUGCACCGCCGAUGGGUGCUCCCGGCCCCGGUGGGGUCGCCAUUAGCCCGUGACCAUGGACUAGCGGUGAACUGGGGACUCCGUCCAUGGGGGACGGCGAGCACUGGUGCUCUGCUGGCGAACGCUUGUUGCAGGGACAUGGAGAUCUCCUACGAUGGGGAAUGGAGAGAGCUUUGGUAGAUAGACCUGUUCUAUCUGGGUGCGAACAAAAUUUCAUCUCUCUUGGAGUUUUUUUUGUGUGUGUCAGAUAGUAGAGAGGAACACCGCUAGUGAGAGGAUUCUUAUCACUACCAGCAGAUCAAGCCUUCCCAUGAGUUUGUUGCCAAGGAUUUGCAUGGAGCGAAGUGGAGGUUCCGCCAUUAUAAGAGAGGCAGAGAAAACUAUUUUGUAGGCUUUUAAACUAAGCACAAAAUUAAGACAUGUUCUGCGUCAAGGAUAGGAAUUAUAAUAUGUAAAGGUAAGAUGGGAGGAUGGCACAGACUGUACUACCAAAUUAGACUAUCUCCAUGGGAGAUCGAGAUUGUUCGUGAUUCAAUCUCUACUGCUCAGUGUCUGGCACUAUCGAUGACCUGCAGACACAAACAGUGUUGUAACCUUUCCUUUAUUAUUCCAGGACCACCCAAAUUAAUGGUUCUACAUCUAAUGUAGAUUAUAUAUGUAUGAACCCUGUCUCUGGCCGCAUCAAUGACUUGCAGACACAAACAUU